rnacentral:tRNA from 1 species
UGGAUUGUAGUCUAGUUGGUUAGGAUGCUCGGCUAUCACCCGAGAGACCCGAGUUCUCGUCCUGGCAAUGGAA